rnacentral:rRNA from 1 species
GUUAAGCGACUAAGCGUACACGGUGGAUGCCCUGGCAGUCAGAGGCGAUGAAGGACGUGCUAAUCUGCGAUAAGCGUCGGUGAGGUGAUAUGAACCGUUAUAACCGGCGAUUUCCGAAUGGGGAAACCCAGUGUGUUUCGACACACUAUCAUUAACUGAAUCCAUAGGUUAAUGAGGCGAACCGGGGGAACUGAAACAUCUAAGUACCCCGAGGAAAAGAAAUCAACCGAGAUUCCCCCAGUAGCGGCGAGCGAACGGGGAGGAGCCCAGAGCCUGAAUCAGUGUGUGUGUUAGUGGAAGCGUCUGGAAAGGCGCGCGAUACAGGGUGACAGCCCCGUACACAAAAAUGCACAUAUUGUGAGCUCGAUGAGUAGGGCGGGACACGUGGUAUCCUGUCUGAAUAUGGGGGGACCAUCCUCCAAGGCUAAAUACUCCUGACUGACCGAUAGUGAACCAGUACCGUGAGGGAAAGGCGAAAAGAACCCCGGCGAGGGGAGUGAAAAAGAACCUGAAACCGUGUACGUACAAGCAGUGGGAGCCUCUUUAUGGGGUGACUGCGUACCUUUUGUAUAAUGGGUCAGCGACUUAUAUUCUGUAGCAAGGUUAACCGAAUAGGGGAGCCGAAGGGAAACCGAGUCUUAACUGGGCGUUAAGUUGCAGGGUAUAGACCCGAAACCCGGUGAUCUAGCCAUGGGCAGGUUGAAGGUUGGGUAACACUAACUGGAGGACCGAACCGACUAAUGUUGAAAAAUUAGCGGAUGACUUGUGGCUGGGGGUGAAAGGCCAAUCAAACCGGGAGAUAGCUGGUUCUCCCCGAAAGCUAUUUAGGUAGCGCCUCGUGAAUUCAUCUCCGGGGGUAGA